CAGCCCCCCGGCGUCCCCCGGCCACCGGCGCCGCCCCCCGGCCCCCCCGGGACCUGCAGACAGGUCGCCUGCUGGAACCACUGGGAGCACUGGGAGCACUGGGAGCUCCACUGGGAGCACUGGGAGCACUGGGAGGACUGGGAGGAGCUGCGGGGGGGCCACUGGGAGCACUGGGAGCUGUGGGAGCUCCACUGGGAGCACUGGGAGCACUGGGAGGGCCACUGGGAGCACUGGGAGGAGCUGCAGGGGGGCCACUGGGAGCACUGGGAGCACUGGGAGGGCCACUGGGAGCACUGGGGCCACUCCCGGGGGUCCCCCUGGGGCCGUGAGCUGGGGGACAAUAAAGCCACUGAUGUCA